rnacentral:RNase_P_RNA from 1 species
UGAGCAGACUGUGCAAUCGCGGCGGCGUUUUAGCCGACGAGGAAAGUCCGGGCAUCACAGAGCAGGGUAACUGCUAACGGCAGCCGGAGGCGACUCCAGGGCCAGUGCAACAGAAACAGACUGCCGGCAUCUGCCGGUGAUGGUGGAAAGGUGGGGUAAGAGCCCACCGGAGCGUGCGAGAGUACGCUGCCAUGUAAACCCUACCCGAUGCAACGCUGAUUUGGUGUGUCACGUCAUAACAUUUGCUCGAUGGAUGCGGCACAAAGGCGGCUUGAACGGUUCGGCGACGAACCGGCUAGAUAAAUGAUUGCACCCGACAGAACCCGGCUUAUAAGUCUGGUCACACA